rnacentral:lncRNA from 1 species
AUGGUUUUCUUUGGGUCCUGUGGUAGCCAGGUCUCUGACUCUUCUCUCCUGCCCCAAUCAGAACUUCCAUACAAUGACUACUUUGAAUACUUUGGACCAGAUUUCAAGCUUCACAUCAGUCCUUCCAAUAUGACUAACCAGAACACUAAUGAAUACCUGGAGAAGAUCAAACAGCGGCUCUUUGAGAAUCUGAGAAUGCUGCCCCACGCACCUGGGGUCCAAAUGCAGGCAAUUCCUGAGGAUGCCAUCCCCGAGGAGAGUGGCGAUGAGGACGAAGAAGAUCCUGACAAGCGCAUCUCAAUCUGUUCCUCUGACAAACGAAUUGCCUGUGAGGAAGAGUUCUCUGACUCAGAUGAGGAGGGAGAAGGGGGCCGCAAGAACUCUUCCAACUUCAAGAAAGCCAAGAGAGUCAAAACAGAAGAUGAGAAAGAAAAAGACCCAGAAGAGAAAAAAGGUGGGUUUGGGUUGGGCCAGGAUUUGGCCCUGGAGGGUGAGGAAUCUAUGUGGGGUCUGACUCAGAUGAGGAGGGAGAAGGGGGCCGCAAGAACUCUUCCAACUUCAAGAAAGCCAAGAGAGUCAAAACAGAAGAUGAGAAAGAAAAAGACCCAGAAGAGAAAAAAGGUGGGUUUGGGUUGGGCCAGGAUUUGGCCCUGGAGGGUGAGGAAUCUAUGUGGGGCACCAGGAGGAGGGAGCUCCUGUGGGGCUCUUAACUCAGCUCCUUGCGCGUUUUUGUGGUUCCCAGAAGUGGCCAGGCCCACAAAACAAUGAAAGUCAUUUCUACUGGCUGAUUGAGCCUGCCUCUCACAUACCACCCGAGCCUUUUUCCCAGCACAUCACCCGUUUCCCAGGGGGUUGCCUCCUCCCACUGGGUUCUGGCUCUUACAGGCUGGGAAACCGGUCCAACCUGUUUGUUGCAACAGGGCUCACUGGGAGGACAUGGGAUGGGUUUUUCUCUUUUCUGUGUCCACUUUGCUGUAGUUUUGGGGAAGGAAUUUUAGGGUAAGUGAAGACCUAAACUCUUUCCAGAGGGGCUGCCUUUGGUGAUCCCUGCAUUUUUCUGUUCUAGAGGUCACAGAAGAGGAGAAAACCAAGGAGGAGAAGCCAGAAGCCAAAGGGUGAGGAAGGAGCUCUCUACCAUCUCCCUGGCACUGGAGCAUCAGCCCCUUUGUCCCACCACUCUGAGAGGGAAGGCACAGGGACAGCUGGUCCAGCUUACAAAGGCUUCUUUCAGGGGCCAGUCAUUCUCUGCAGUUCUAGGCAGAGCUAGGAAGUCCCAGCCCCCAGCAGUCACCUGGACACGCAGGGUGCUGUGGAAGUCAUUGUGUCCCACAGUUUUGCCUCAAGGCCUCUGAGAUGGGUUAUCUUACGCUAGUUUCUGCUCUCUCCACAGGGUCAAAGAGGAGGUCAAGAUGGCCUAAGCAGACCUCUCCAGCUCGGGCUUCUUGCCAAGUUCCCUACCUUUCUCCAACCCCUCAGAUUUUAUAUUUUCUAUUUCUCUGUAUAUUUAUAUAAAGUAUAUUAAAUAUAAAUGUCCUUAGGGACUAGAUAGGAGCCAGGGCCCUUGAGUGCAGGGCAGCUAUGCUGAGGGAACUCUUCUAGUAGCUGUCUUGCUCCCCAUCCUUCCCCAAGUUUUAGUUUUAAACCAUAAAGGGUACAGAUUUGGAUGGAAGCAAUGCAGCCAUAAGACAAAAUCCUGGCAUGCUGAGGGCCUCCUUUGUAGCUUUGGAAAAGGAACCCUGUUAAGUGUUCUAGAAGGGAUGGAUGCGUCUUCAGGGGCCCCCUGUUCUUUGGGCUCCUAAGGUAACAUCAGCCAUUUUUAGAUUGGUUCUGUUCUCAUAACUUCACACUGGCCCCAAGUGAGCUAAGAAACUCACACUGCCCUCUUGUCUUCCCCCAGUUCUGCAGGUGGAGGUUGGUAGCCUAGCUUCAUUUUUUUGAGACAUUUUCAUUUUUGUGAGACUCUUUGUAAUAAAAUGGUACAUUUCUAUAUUCUCCUGAGCUUGUUUCCUAGCAGUGUCCCUGGGUUGUUCUCAACACUGCACCUCAUAUCUUUUUUGGGUAACCCACACACACACAAGUACAUGAACUUACCUGCCUUCUUAGUCCCGCCCCUGAGGUUUCCACCAGUUUCCUCAUCUUACCCCCAGAAGACCACACUCAUUAAAGCACCACUAAAGGGACAACAUUUAUUCCUUUUCCAAAUGUUACAGUAAAACCAGGUGGAAGAGAAUGGUUUUAGCAAUUAGAAAAAAAAAAAGUACAAAUCUGGGGUUUGGCCAUUAAAAGUUAUUUACAACAAUGGGGGAGGAAAAAAAAAAAGACAACAAGAAGUUGUUUCACAUUACAGACCUCCCUCCCACCCAAAGCCUAAUACUUGCUUACCAAGUCAGAAAAGAGACAGUUGAUUCACAAGCUGGAGGUUUGAACUUGAGUAAGACAUUUAUAAAAACCUAGACGGGGUAGUGUCCUCCCCAGCCCAGGUGCCACUAGGCACAGCACAAGAGACUAAAAAAACUCAACAUGGCUGGACACUCAGGGUUUGGGAGUGUAAGCACCCCACUUCUGGCUCAGGGAUCUGGGGAGCAGGAUAAACAAAAUCUACUUGGAAAAGAACCGGGAAAAAACCAGCAAUUGCCUUCUGUAGGGGAAGGGACAGGGAAGGAGGUAGGGCCAAGGACAGGAGCAUUUCACAUCACUAACCUAACUUGGGAAACUGUAAGGGACCAUCUUUAACUGGCCCUAAGAGGAAGACCAGAUGGCUGAUGGGAGAAUCCACAGGAGGGAGAGGAGAAGAGGGAUGUGGCUGGGAGGGGGCAACAAGCCCCUUCCUUUCUGGGCACAGGAAGGCAGCCAGGGCACCAGGUCCAGGCAGUGACCUCACAAGGACAGCACAGUUUUUGCAGCUUAGAGAUCACCCACCUGCCCCCACCCAGCUACUCAUUCUGCUCAGUGCUGGCCGGCGCAGGGUCACUCUCAGGCCCCGAGGGAGUAGACGGCUCUGCGGCCUGGGGCCCCGCCUCCUCUUCAGCAUCUCCUCCCUUGGCGGCAGCACUAGCCUCUGCCCCCUUGGCCUGGGGCUCCUGACUCUCAGGGGUGGCAGCAGCCUUCCCUUCCUGGGCAGUGCCCUCCUCACUGCAGGCACCGAUCUCCCCCUGCUCCUGCUCUUCCUCUGUGGGUGAGGAGGCAGAAGAAUCCCCCCCACCCUCCUUCCGAUUUCUCUUGAAGGACAGGCCGCUCAAUUUGAAAGGCUUCUUGAAAGAGAAUUUCUUCUUCUUCUUGGGGGUCUCCUUGGGGGGGGCCUCCCCCUUGGCCUCAGCGCCCUGGCUAGGGGGUGCUGGCUCGAUGGCAUCGCCAGUGGCCCCAUCUGCCUCAUCUGUUCCGUUCACCGGGGGCGACUCCCCUUCACCCUUGGGGGACAAGUCUCCAUUGCUUUUCACGUGGCCAUUCUCCUGCAGGGCAGAGGAGACAGUGAGGGCUGGGGCUCAUCUCCCCCUCCCCCAGUGCACUUCUGGCCCCUUGCGAGCAACGGGGUCCACCACUCGGGCCUACCGCUUUAGCCUCGCCCAACACUCGGGAUCCCUUCAAACAUCGUCCUUGCGCCUCACGGCGCGCUGGGACAUCGCGGCCGGCAGGAGGCGCUGGGGUCCCGGGGUCCCCACCCCUCCUCCCCCGGGGUGCGCUCUGUAUUCCGCGCAGAACCGCUCCGGGCCGCGGAUCCCGGGGAGGCGGGCGGGCCGUGCUAGACGACAUUGGGCGGGAAGCCGCCCCGGGGCGCUGCCUCUCUGCACCUGGACGGCCUAUUUUCUCAGCCUCUGGCUUUGUGUAAACGGCCCCCACCCACCACAGGCCCUCCUCACAUCUCGGGCUCCCCUCUUCAAAAAAGACCGCGGGCCACCGAGGUUGGGUCUUCGGGUGGAGUGCUCUCCCUCCCGGGCAACCGCCUCGAGGGCCCUGGGCGCCCCCUUGGCGAGGCC